UUUCUGGCAGGGGCAUGGGUGCCAGGUACUGCGCGGAGAGCUGGGCCGAGCAUGCUGAGAGCCUGGGAGACCCGACGCCAGCCGGGAUUUCCGUCUCUCUCUCUGUGUAUAUAUCUAAACGAGUCCCUCUGUACAUGUAUUUAACCGUGGGUGCACGUGUGUCUGUGCGGUGUACGUGUGGUCUGCGUGUGUGCGUGUGUGUGGCCGCCCGCGCGGGGGCAGAGCGAGUGGGUGCCCAGGAGGCACCCAGGGCAUUGUUUGUCUCGUGACUUCGUACGUCGCAAGCCCCUCCUGUACUUCACUGAACGGUGGCACUUUGGCGGGGUUGGAAGCAAAGUCGGACAUUAAAGGUCAUUUCUUCUGUGCGGCUUUGAGUAGUUUGUGAACGGGGUGGCAGGCAGAUCUUGAGUUGCCUUUUCGUUCACAUUAAGGUGUGCCCCUGUCUCUCCCGCCGGGCCUGUGGGCAGUGGUUGUGCCGGCCCCCCUUGACCCCGUUUCUGCCUUUGCCAUUCCUGCCCUUCAGGGCUAAACAAAUCUGACCCUGUGGCCGAAAGUGACGCCCUGGACUUGUCCCAUACGUCCUUCCUGCCUGCUUUUGACCGUUCCCAUAUCCAAAUCUUCCUGCUGUGGGCAACAUAGGGCAAUGUCUGGCCUGGCCCUGAUCCCCAGGACCCCGAUCCUAGUUGGAGCUACCAGGCCAGCACCCUAGGUGGGCCUGUCACCUGUGAGGGGACUGGUCCCUUACCUCCUCCAGCAUCUUCUGACCAAACACUGCAUUAUUUGCCUGUGCCCAUGGAACCUGAGAAAGAGAGCCAGACUGCAGAAUUUUCUGGACAAGAAGAGGAUCCAUAUGUCAAUGCAACACCUAUGGGCACAGGAACCCUCCUAAGCUCGGCUAACUGGCCAGCCUGCCUGGGAAAGAAGCACUGAGGAAAGUCACGCAGAGAAGAGGAGCAUACCUUGAAGAAGUCUACAAAUGAUUGUUGAUCUGGGAGCCAAAGAAACAAAGGCAAAUAAAACGCAGCCUUUGCACUCAUGAACAUUUCAGUCUGGAAGAGGAGAUUGGACAUUCCCUCCAAACAAGAAUUCUGAAGGGACACAGACAUCGUCAGUGCCAUUGGAGGGAUGUUCUUCUUAUUAAGAGGUGAAGUCUAAUUAUUCACUCCUUGAAUAGAAUGCAGCAGAAGUGACCCC